rnacentral:rRNA from 1 species
ACGGGGGGAUCGAGUGGUGGCCACUAUUACUGGGCGUAAAGCGUGUGUAGGUGGGUGGUUAAGUCUCUGGGGAAAUCUUCCGGCUCAACCGGGAGGCGUCUAAGGGAUACUGGCAGGCUAGGGACCGGAAGAGGUGAGAGGUACUCCAGGGGUAGGAGUGAAAUCCUGUAAUCCUUGGGGGACCACCUGUGGCGAAGGCGUCUCACCAGGACGGCUCCGACAGUGAGGAACGAAAGCUGGGGGAGCAAACCG